rnacentral:tRNA from 2 species
AGGGCUAUAGCUCAGUUGGUAGAGCGCCUCGUUUACAC